CCAUGUUGCUAUGGGAACUCCCGUUCUGGACAUCAAUAGGACCAAGGGAAAUGGAAUAAGGCCAAGUGCCACCCCUUCUGGAAAUCCCUAGGGAAGGCAGAUAUGAAACACUGGUCUCCUGCUCUUGGAUCCUUGAGCCAUUCUCUCCCACUUUGCUGCAGGUUUUAUGGAGUGUACUCUGACUUUCAUAAAUCUAGCUCACGCCGCGUCUUCUGUGUGUCUUGCUCAAUUCUUUGUUGCAGACCCCAAAAACUUGGACAUUGACUUGACCUUCCUCCCGUAACAGUUUUGGCAAGCCAACUAGAAGUCACUUUUAAUUGUGAUAACACCUGUGAGAUAGAGACGCUCAACCUGAAGCUUGGAGAGGUGUGUCCUUGCAAAUACCAUUGUGAACUGGGCACACACCUACACCAGAGUAUAAACACCUCUUCCUGCUGGGUGUGCACCAAAGUGCCUAUGAGUUUUGCUGCUGGACUGCCCUAGUGAAUCCAGACUACAUCCAUGGGCAAUUGGACAUGGCUGAGAAAGGCAUUCAUUACCACUUCAAUAUGGGAUUAAAUUGGCAAUGGUUUUUGGUAAUCCUAGGUGGCGGGGCUUGUUUUCUGUUUGUGUGUUAUUACAGUUUAUACUGUUGUUGUGGCCUGUAAAUGUAGAGCUCUGCCUUCCUCACUGAAGGAUCAUUGCUGAAGACCUCGAUCAUGUAGAUUGUUUGGCAAGGAAUCCUAAAAGGAUGGGUUGUUGAGCAGGCCCAAGAGAGCUAUAGUUAGGCUCCCUCCCCGAGGCUUCUGGCCAGUUAUAUUUUAGUAUGUAGUCAAGGUUAUGAACGCUUGGAUUCAGAAUAUGUACUCAAGAUCAAAAACAUUUGCUUAUGAGCAUGUGCCCACUUAUGUAACCUGUUGGCAAUGAGCCUUCUUUGUCUGGCCUACACAUAAAAAAGACCUAUGAACGGACUCGGGGAGCAAGAUGGGACUGGUGAGGGGCGACU